GACGAACGCUGGCGGCGUGCCUAAUACAUGCAAGUCGAGCGGACCGGAUUGGGGCUUGCCUUGAUUCGGUCAGCGGCGGACGGGUGAGUAACACGUGGGCAACCUGCCCGCAAGACCGGGAUAACUCCGGGAAACCGGAGCUAAUACCGGAUAACACCGAAGACCGCAUGGUCUUCGGUUGAAAGGCGGCCUUUGGGCUGUCACUUGCGGAUGGGCCCGCGGCGCAUUAGCUAGUUGGUGAGGUAACGGCUCACCAAGGCGACGAGGCGUAGCCGGCCUGAGGGGGGGACCGGCCACACUGGGACUGAGCCACGGCCCAGACUCCUACGGGAGGCAGCAGUUGGGCAUCAUCCGCGAUGGGCGAAAGCCUGACGGGGCGAGGCCGCGUGAGCGAAGAAGGCCUUCGGGUCGUAAAGCUCUGUUGUGAGGGACGAAGGAGCGUCGUUCGAAGAGGGCGGCGCGGUGACGGUACCUCACGAGAAAGCCCCGGCUAACUACGUGCCAGCCGCCGCAGUAA
rnacentral:rRNA from 1 species